rnacentral:tRNA from 1 species
AUCCAUGAUGGCCGAGACAUUAGGCAUCGAGCUUUUAACUCGAUUACAGUUAUUGCCCAACUUCAGGAUA